rnacentral:rRNA from 1 species
AUGUAUGAGAGAGACAUCACUUAUGGCAGUUUGCUUAGUGUGAUGGUCAGAAAUGGGUAUGGAAGUGAUGACAGUAUUUGCUACUUGAGGAAGGAUUGCACAGGGCUGCAAGGGAUUACUUUCGUCAGAAACAACACCGAAGUGGAUGAGAUGAUAAAGCAGUUUAAAAACAGUCAGACACUGUGUUUGUAUGUUAAAGAGGGGAAAUUAGAUAUAAUGCAAACACCAGUUAACAAAAGUGCAGAAGAUGAAGAAGUGGACCCAGAUGAAACAAUUGAAGAUUUAACAGUGGACCCACCAGUUGUAUUUGCUGUUAAUGAGUCAGGUGUUGUGCACAAAACAAACACUGAUCAUGUUGGCUCAUCAUAUUUUCUUGGUACACAAGAAAGUGUGAACUAUAUGCCAAUAAAAUCAGUUCCUCCACCAUGCCAGUUACUGCUUGGGACGCACGAUCACCCAAUUGAGCCAGAGAUGGUAGAUGCAGAUGAGGAAAAUAAUGCAUUGCAGCAGGUUAACACUCAAGUUAGUGUUAAUUAUGCAGAUUUCCAGUUUGAUACAGAUGAGGAAGAGUAUGCAGGAAAUGAGGACACAUCUGAUGAAGAUGAUGACUCAGUAUUUGAUGAAGACUUUGUAGCUCAUGAAGACCUCUCAGAUGCAGAUUCAGAUUCCAUGGACUAUGAAGAAGAAGAUAAUGUAGCUAGAGAAGAAGAACAGAGGAGGAAAGUGGGCAGUGAUCUGAAAGACACAAUUGCUGACAUUAAGAGGAAGAGAGCUCAAUACAUGAGUAGUACACACUGUGAAGGAGACACAGACCCUGAAGAUUUAUAUGACAUAGACUUGGAGGAAGAGGAUGAUGACUGUCAAGAGAUAGCAGUUCCUGAGCCUGUUCAGAAGAAGAUAAGGAGGCCUGGGCCUACUAGUAGGUCCCACUCUAGUGCUAACAGAAGCAUGAAUGAGGACUGGUAUCCAUCUUCAGAAGAGGAUGAUACAGGCUUUGAAGCUGAUGAUGAUGGCAAUGAACCUAUGUCUUUUAUAAUCUCCUCUGGUAGAAAGAGCAGAGCUAAGAAAAGACCACCUAGGGUCUGGUAUGAUGAGGGCAGACUGCAUCCAGAGCAGCAAUUCCAGCUUAGGCUUUGUUUCAGAGAUGUGUACCAGUUUAGAGAGGCUCUUGUGAAUUUGCAUGUGAAACAACUUAGAAGAUACAAAUAUCACAGAAACUGCAGUGAUAGGGUAAUAGUGUGUUGUGAUGGAGAGGGCUGUCAGUUCCACAUGGUUGCAACAAAGAUCAGUAAUGAGCCCACUUUCUGCAUUAAGAAGAUGGUAUUGGAGCACACCUGUCCCACCCAAUCUGACAAGACAAGGGUCAGCUCCAAGUAG